CGCGGCUUACUCACCAAACUUGGCUCCUUCCGAUUACUAUUUCUUUACAUCGAGAGGACACGCACUUUCUGACCAGGACUUCACUUCUUACGAAAAUGUACGAAAAUGGCUCGAUGACUGGUUUGCCUCAAAAGAGAGACAUUUUUUUGGCGUGGCAUCCACCAAUUGCCGGACAGGUGGGAAAAAUGUAUAGCUGGCGAUGGGCAAUACUUCGAAUAAAAUAUUUUUAAUCAUUUUCAUACAAUAAACGUGUAUUUUCUAUACAAAAAUUCCGGUUUCAUAUUUACAUACCUGGAACACGAAUUU
rnacentral:misc_RNA from 1 species